rnacentral:lncRNA from 1 species
AUGCUGUGUUUGACUUCGGCUCUAGCAAGUGCCCUCAGUUCUGAGCCUUUACUCCUGACCUCAACCAGAAGCUCCCACCUGGGGGCCUCUCAGCUCACCCCGACAGGGGAAGAGGAUGAGCUCAGUGGGCAGGAGGACGCCUUCUGCAGCUGGGCCGUGCAAACCUUCAAGGCAGCCUGUGAGACGUUUGAUGUCCAAGGCAAACAGCACAUUCAGAUCCCCAAGCUCUACAUCUCCAGUGUGACCAGGGACCUGCACCACUUCAGGCUCGUGCAGGACUCACAGCCUUUGGACCUCAGCAAAGCCCUCAGCAGCAUGCACGCCAAGAACGUGUUCACCAUGAGGCUCAAAUCUCGGCAGAACCUACAGAGUCCGCCAUCCAGGUAAGGGAAAGUGCAGGGCUUCUUGGGUGAUGCUCUGUCGAUUUUAUUCUAAUGAAUGAAAGACCAGAAGAAGUCAGUCUUUGAAGGGAGAGGAGAGGAGCCUCUGCUGGCAUCAGCAGCCACGCCAUCGUAGAACGGGCUCACCUGGACCUGUGGCUGCCUGUGCUUCUACAUCUAGUCUUGGUUAACCACGGCCACUUUUCCAGCUUGGACACUAAGCACCUGCUCCACUUCCUCUCCUUCCUCAUUGAACUCUUUCAGUAAAAGGAGAGUGCAAGACAGACUUAAACUGUUUGAUUCAUUCUGAAGAACUUUCAGGAAAAGUGUUGGCAGAGAAGGAGAUUUCCCAGCUCUGGGAAAUGAGCCUUGUGGAUUAUCUGCAGGUUUCAUUAAUCCGUGCUGUCCUCCCCACGUGCAUUAGGAAAACUGGCCUUGGUUCUAAUAAGAACAUGGUUUGUCCUGGCAACAAGGAAAGGUUUCUUCUGAUGUCCAUGUGUCUCCAAGGGGGAUACUUUCUUUAGGCAGAGGCUGUGGCCAAGCGCUCGGGGGCUCAGAGGGCUGCUGGGAAGGGGUGGGUCCCCUCCUCCCCAGAGGGAAGCUCCCGGGGCCCUCUCGAGCACCCCUGCCUGUGGGGAUCCCUCAUCCCAUGCUCAGGGUGGCGGGCCCAGGCUUGUGGAACCAGCCAGGAAAAUGAAAGGAGGGCACAUUUCCUGGGGAAUCUCGCCUGCCCAUCAGGGAGCCCUGGAGGAAAUUCUGCAGUCACCUGAGGCGGCUUCUUCUUCCUCUUUUUCUUUUUUUUUGGACACAGAGUCUCACUCAGUUGCCCAGGCUGGAGUGCAGUGGUAUGAUCUCG